CGAAGGGGGCGAGCGUUGUUCGGAUUUACUGGGCGUAAAGGGCGCGCAGGCGGCUCAUUUUGUCAGGCGUGAAAGCCCCGGGCUUAACCUGGGAACUGCGUUUGAUACGGAUGGGCUAGAGUUCGGGAGAGGAGAGUGGAAUUCCCAGUGUAGAGGUGAAAUUCGUAGAUAUUGGGAAGAACACCGGUGGCGAAGGCGGCUCUCUGGACCGAGACUGACGCUGAGGCGCGAAAGCGUGGGGAGCAAACAGGAUUAGAUACCCUGGUAGUCCACGCUGUAAACGAUGUGUGCUAGACGUUGGGGAGCCUAGCUCUUCGGUGUCGCAGCUAACGCGGUAAGCACACCGCCUGGGGAGUACGGCCGCAAGGUUA
rnacentral:rRNA from 1 species